GCCUCUCUUCGUGCAAGAUAAAGUGUUUAUCGGAUUAGAGAAUGCCCCAUCCAAUUAUCCGGUACGAGAGAAAGUUUUGGGACCAGGGGGAAUUUAUCUUCAACAUAUUAGGACUGAAAGUGGAGCCAAUGUAACAUUGCGUGGAAAAGGGUCAGGAUAUAUCGAACCGACGUCAGGAAGGGAGGCGUUCGAACCUCUUCACAUUCAUUUAACGCAUCCUAAAACAGAAGGAUUACAAGCUGCUAAAACACUUGCUUUAAAUCUAGUUGAAACAAUUUAUACAGAGUUUGUUCAGUGGCAACAACAGCAGCAGCAACAGCAAGUAGCUGCUCAGUCUUUAACACAACCUGCAAUUGGUUAUCAAAGUAAGUUGUAUGAAUUUGA
rnacentral:misc_RNA from 1 species